GAUGAACGCUGGCGGCGUGCCUAAUACAUGCAAGUCGAGCGAACAGAUGAGGAGCUUGCUCCUCUGACGUUAGCGGCGGACGGGUGAGUAACACGUGGAUAACCUACCUAUAAGACUGGGAUAACUUCGGGAAACCGGAGCUAAUACCGGAUAAUAUAUUGAACCGCAUGGUUCAAUAGUGAAAGACGGUUUUGCUGUCACUUAUAGAUGGAUCCGCGCCGCAUUAGCUAGUUGGUAAGGUAACGGCUUACCAAGCCAACGAUGCGUAGCAGACCUGAGAGGGUGAUCGGCCACCCUGGAACUGGGACACGGUCCAGACUCCUACGGGAGGCAGCAGUAGGGAAUCUUCCGCAAUGGGCGAAAGCCUGACGGAGCAACGCCCCGUGAGUGAUGAAGGUCUUCGGAUCGUAAAACUCUGUUAUUAGGGAAGAACAAAUGUGUAAGUAACUAUGCACGUCUUGACGGUACCUAAUCAGAAAGCCACGGCUAACUACGUG
rnacentral:rRNA from 1 species